GGAAGGAUCAUUCGUAUGCAACUAGCUCUCGGAAGCGGUUUCCGUAGAAGAGGGCGCCUUUUUUAAAUGAAGUAAUCAUAAAUUGCUGGCAAUGGAUGUCUUGGUUCAGGUUUCGAAGAUGGACGCAGCGAGAUGCGAUACGCAUUACGAAAUGCGAAGCUCCGUGAGUUUCUUGAUUUCCUAACGCAAACUGCGCGUUAACGCCGCAUAUGCUGAUCAGUGUCUUUUUUGAUCUUGCCUCAAAAAUUGGGCAGUAUAUUUCAUUCAAUGAUUCUUUUUGAAUCGAUUGUAUCCUGAUCAGCGUAAGAGUACCCGCUGAAUUUAAGCAUAUUACUAAGCGGAGGAAGAGAAAACAAUUGUGACUCCCUGAGUAACGGCGAGUGAAAAGGGACAAGCUCUAUUUCUUAUAAUUGUGUUCAUCACAAAAUGUGUUGUUGUGUCAAUAGGUCUCUGAGGUUGCUUGAUGUUGGCUGGAAUGUCGCGUUACAAACGGUGAAAAUCCGGUUCAAGUUGCCUUUGUGGCUUUUGGUGCUGUGCAGAGUAGCGCUCUUUGAGAGUGGAGUGUGAAUGGGUGGUAGCAUUUCACCCGAAGCUGAGUAUCAACCUGAAACCGAUAGCGUAAAAGUACCUUGAGGGAAAGAUGAAAAGAACUUUGGAAAGAGAGUUAAAAGUGUCUGAAAUUGCUAGUAUGGAAGCCUUCAAGGUCAAUUUGACGUCGGCAAUGUCUGUUUGUGCAUCUGCACGGAUUUGUCAUUGCUAGUUGCUGCCGUUUCUUCAAUCUCUCAUGUCGUUUGUUGGACUUGUCUAUCAUUCGCUGGGUUCUGAUUUGAUGAAGUGUUGGCUGUUCGUGGCCUUGUUGGGCCCGUCUUGAAACACGGACCAAGGAGUCUAACGUUUGUGCGAGUUCGUUGGUUUUAUGCCACUGUGCGUAGUGAAAGCAAUUUUUGUUACAGGCGUAUCUUCGUCUUGUCGCAAAGUCCACUUCAAGAUCUCGGUCUUGAUUUGAGUUGGAGCACGGCCGUUGGGACCCGAAAGAUGGUGAACUAUGCUUGGACAGGGUGAAGCCAGGGGAAACUCUGGUGGAAGCUCGCAGCGAUACUGACGUGCAAAUCGUUCGUCUGAUCUGAGUAUAGGGGCGAAAGACUAAUCGAACUAUCUAGUAGCUGGUUCCUCU
rnacentral:misc_RNA from 1 species